rnacentral:tRNA from 1 species
GACGCGGUGGCCUAAUGGUUAACGCGUUGGGCUCCAGAUCGAGCGAUCCGGGUUCUAGCCCUGGCCGGGGUCA